rnacentral:lncRNA from 1 species
GUUUUCAGCAGGAACAAGCGGUUUCCAAUUCUUCGACUGGUAUUACUCAAAGAAAGAAUCUGCUUUUCAGUCGUGCGAUGGCAACUCAGUCAACCCCGCCUCAAUCCAUCCAUGAUUUCACUGUGAAGGUAUUCAAUUUCAUUGGUUUCAGAUUGAUGUGCUCAAGUCUCAACAUUCUCCGUUUAUUAGGGAAAUUGCUUUGUUUCUGAAUUUGUUGCUGAUGGANGAGGAUCGCCCAAAGACGGCGAUCUAAAUGCUAGUUUUCUUCUAGAAUGAUCCUCGCCGUCUAAUUCAUCCUCGCGAAAUCGGACACGGCUCUGAAACGUGGCACGUGGCGCAGUCGCCACGUGGAAACCGGCAUCUUCGUGCACGCCAUGCGCCACCGAUUUCUGCGGCAGCAAACAUAGCGUUGCAGCUGCGACGUCGCUGUCAGAUUUCAAUUACGCAAAUCUAGUUGGCCCCAUUAAUAUUAGUAUUAAAAUAUUAAUCGUCGUAAUAAACCAUGUCCCGUUGCGCAAGGCAUCUCUUCAAAUUCAAACCCGCAAACUUUUCUUCCAUUUCCAAUCGAACCCGUUUCAGCUCAUCUCUAUUCGGAAAGUAUCAUUUGCGUUUUCAGCAGGAACAAGCGGUUUCCAAUUCUUCGACUGGUAUUACUCAAAGAAAGAAUCUG